CCAUUAGAAAGCUUUAGUUGGAGUGCCUGGGAGAGCGGAGGCUUCGUGGCCGUUUGUCUGCCGUCGAUCAUCGGACACAAAGUAUGGCUGCGGAUCGAGAGUUUGUUUUCUCUCCCUCUCCACCCCCUCCCUCCCCCCUCCCCGGCCGGGGAGGUGGUUAGGUGGUACCCAUGCUGACAGCGGCUAUCUGGAUUCUCGUGGCCAAUUCAGGAUAGGGGAACUGCAGCUCAACCUCCUCGAAGAGCACUGCCAGGACAAUUGAGGGCUCCUUUCGGCAGCCCUCUGCUGUGACAUGGACAUCCACUUUUUAUUUAAUUGAUUUUCAUGUUGUAUCAUUUGUGCCCUCUCUGCAUCCAUUUCAACCUGGUGAUCCUGAAAGGGGGAUCCUUCCAUCUGUGGUCCCUUCUCAAGGUUUCUCAUUUUCCCCCUGCUAGGGGUUUUUAAGUUUUUCCUUGCCCUUUUGGGAGCUUAAGAUCAGGGGAUGCUUUGAGAAUAAUUGUCAAUUUCUGUCUAUGUGAAGCCCUUUGAGACUGCUUGUGAUUUAGGGCUAUACAAAUAAACUUGACUUGACUUGA